rnacentral:rRNA from 1 species
CUCUGGGAUAACACUUGGAAACAGGUGCUAAUACCGGAUACGACACAGACGGACAUCCGUACUGUGUGGAAAGUUCUUCGGUGAGGGAUGGGCUCGCGGCCUAUCAGUUUGUUGGUGGGGUAAUGGCCUACCAAGACGACGACGGGUAGCCGGCCUGAGAGGGCGACCGGCCACACUGGGACUGAGACACGGCCCAGACUCCUACGGGAGGCAGCAGUGGGGAAUAUUGCACAAUGGGCGAAAGCCUGAUGCAGCGACGCCGCGUGAGGGAUGAAGGCCUUCGGGUUGUAAACCUCUUUCAGCAGGGAAGAAGCGAAAGUGACGGUACCUGCAGAAGAAGCACCGGCUGACUACGUGCCAGCAGCCGCGGUAAUACGUAGGGUGCGAGCGUUGUCCGGAAUUAUUGGGCGUAAAGAGCUUGUAGGCGGUUUGUCGCGUCUGCUGUGAAAAUCCGGGACUCAAUUCCGGACUUGCAGUGGGUACGGGCAGACUAGAGUACGGUAGGGGAGACUGGAAUUCCUGGUGUAGCGGUGAAAUGCGCAGAUAUCAGGAGGAACACCAAUGGCGAAGGCAGGUCUCUGGGCCGUAACUGACGCUGAGAAGCGAAAGCAUGGGGAGCGAACAGGAUUAGAUACCCUGGUAGUCCAUGCCGUAAACGUUGGGCCCUAGGUGUGGGGCUCAUUCCACGAGCUCUGUGCCGCAGCCAACGCAUUAAGCGCCCCGCCUGGGGAGUACGGCCGCAAGGCUAAAACUCAAAGGAAUUGACGGGAGCCCGCACAAGCGGCGGAGCAUGCGGAUUAAUUCGAUGCAACGCGAAGAACCUUACCAAGGCUUGACAUAUACCGGAAACAUCUAGAGAUAGGUGCCCCGCAAGGUCGGUAUACAGGUGGUGCAUGGUUGUCGUCAGCUCGUGUCGUGAGAUGUUGGGUUAAGUCCCGCAACGAGCGCAACCCUCGUUCUAUGUUGCCAGCACGUAAUGGUGGGGACUCAUAGGAGACUGCCGGGGUCAACUCGGAGGAAGGUGGGGAUGACGUCAAAUCAUCAUGCCCCUUAUGUCUUGGGCUUCACGCAUGCUACAAUGGCCGGUACAAAGGGCUGCGAUACUGCAAGGUGGAGCGAAUCCCAAAAAACCGGUCUCAGUUCGGAUUGGGGUCUGCAACUCGACCCCAUGAAGUCGGAGUCGCUAGUAAUCGCAGAUCAGCAACGCUGCGGUGAAUACGUUCCCGGGCCUUGUACACACCGCCCGUCAAGUCACGAAAGUCGGUAACACCCGAAGCCGGUGGCCCAACCCUUGUGGAGGGAGCCGUCGAAGGUGGGACUGGCGAUUGGGACUAAGUCGAAACAAGGUA